UUUUCCCCCAGCCGGCGCUCAGCUGGGGCGGAGGAAGAGGCGGCCGGGGCCUGCCGAGCCGUUGCAGUCUUCGCGGCUGCUAUGCCCAGGGAGCGCAGCGCCCUCCGCAGCCCCGCGCAGCGCUAGAGGCGGCCGAGCGCCCGCCGACGCCGCCCGGAUUCCCGGUGCCUCCGCUCCCCGAGUCCCGCAGCUCCCGCGGCUCCUCCGGCGCUGCCUGCGAGGCCAGGCGGAGGCGAGAUGAAGAUGACGGUGGAUUUCGAGGAGUGUCUGAAGGAUUCGCCCCGCUUCAGGGCCGCAUUGGAGGAAGUGGAGGGCGAUGUGGCUGAGCUGGAACUGAAGCUGGACAAGCUUGUGAAACUUUGUAUCGCGAUGAUUGAUACCGGCAAAGCCUUUUGUCUUGCAAAUAAACAGUUCAUGAAUGGGAUUCGAGACCUGGCCCAGUAUUCUAGCAAUGAUGCUGUGGUUGAGACAAGCUUGACCAAGUUUUCUGACAGUCUUCAAGAAAUGAUAAAUUUCCAUACAAUCUUGUUUGACCAAACUCAGAGAUCAAUUAAGGCACAGCUUCAGAACUUUGUCAAAGAAGAUCUUAGAAAAUUCAAAGAUGCCAAGAAACAAUUUGAAAAAGUCAGUGAAGAAAAGGAAAAUGCGCUAGUGAAAAAUGCCCAAGUUCAAAGAAACAAACAACAUGAGGUUGAAGAGGCCACGAACAUCCUCACAGCCACACGGAAGUGCUUCCGGCACAUAGCCCUUGACUACGUCCUUCAGAUUAAUGUGCUUCAAUCAAAAAGGAGAUCAGAAAUCCUGAAAUCAAUGCUGUCCUUCAUGUACGCACAUCUGGCCUUCUUCCAUCAAGGGUACGACCUGUUCAGUGAGCUCGGACCCUACAUGAAGGAUCUUGGAGCACAGUUGGAUCGACUGGUUGUGGAUGCUGCAAAGGAGAAAAGGGAGAUGGAGCAAAAACAUUCUACUAUCCAACAGAAGGAUUUCUCCAGUGAUGAUUCCAAGCUAGAGUAUAACGUAGAUGCUGCGAAUGGCAUUGUCAUGGAAGGGUAUCUGUUCAAGCGAGCCAGCAACGCCUUCAAAACAUGGAACAGGAAAAAGCCCGAUCAUAUCAGACGCUGGUUCUCCAUACAGAACAAUCAGUUGGUUUACCAGAAAAAGUUUAAGGACAGCCCCACCGUGGUGGUGGAAGACCUCAGGCUCUGCACGGUGAAGCACUGUGAAGACAUCGAACGGCGCUUCUGCUUUGAGGUGGUCUCUCCAACAAAAAGUUGCAUGCUCCAGGCAGAUUCCGAAAAGCUUCGCCAGGCCUGGAUUAAGGCUGUUCAGACCAGUAUUGCAACUGCUUAUAGAGAGAAGGAUGAUGAGAAACUGGAUAAGAAAUCAUCUCCAUCAACAGGAAGCCUAGACUCGGGAAAUGAAUCCAAAGAGAAAUUGCUGAAAGGAGAAAGCGCGCUGCAGCGUGUCCAGUGCAUUCCCGGCAACACCAGCUGCUGUGACUGUGGCCUGGCAGACCCACGGUGGGCCAGCAUCAACUUGGGCAUUACCUUGUGCAUUGAGUGCUCUGGGAUUCAUCGGAGUCUUGGGGUUCAUUUUUCGAAAGUACGAUCCUUAACUUUAGACACAUGGGAGCCUGAGCUUCUAAAGCUUAUGUGUGAAUUGGGGAAUGAUGUUAUAAAUCGUGUUUAUGAAGCUAAACUGGAUAAAAUGGGAAUAAAGAAACCACAGCCAGGACAAAGACAGGAGAAAGAGGCAUAUAUCAGAGCGAAGUAUGUGGAGAGGAAAUUUGUGGAUAAGGACUCUACGUUGUCCUCCCCUUUUGAGCAGGAGAAAAGAAUCAUCUCCAAAAGCUGUGAGGAGCAGAGGCUGAGCCACAGCAGAGUGUCUGUCCACACCUCAGUGGCUGCUGUCAGUAGCGACGAGGCCAGGCGGGAGUCUCUGUUCUGUCCUGAUGAGCUAGAUUCACUCUUCUCCUACUUUGAUACUUCUUCAAAACUGCGUAGUAUCAAAAGUAAUGACAGUGGGAUCCAGCAAGGCUCUGAUGAUGGCAGAGAAUCGUUACCUUCCACCGUGUCAGCCAACAGCUUAUACGAGCCUGAAGGAGAAAGGCAAGAAUCUGUGUUUCUUGACUCUAAACAUCUUAAUCCAGGACUUCAGCUUUAUAGGGCUUCAUAUGAAAAAAACCUUCCCAAAAUGGCUGAGGCUUUGGCUCAUGGUGCAGAUGUGAACUGGGCUAAUUCAGACGAACACCAAGCAACACCACUCAUUCAGGCUGUAUUAGGGGGCUCUUUGGUGACAUGUGAGUUCCUCUUACAGAAUGGUGCUAAUGUGAACCAAAGAGAUGUCCAAGGGCGGGGACCACUGCACCACGCCACCGUCUUAGGACACACAGGGCAGGUAUGUUUAUUCCUAAAGCGAGGUGCCAAUCAACAUGCCACUGAUGAAGAGGGGAAGGACCCUUUGAGUAUUGCCGUGGAAGCAGCCAAUGCAGACAUAGUCACCCUGUUACGCUUAGCAAGAAUGAACGAAGAAAUGCGGGAAUCAGAAGGACUUUAUGGACAGCCAGGUCAAUAUUCUACUAAUAAUCAUACUGAAAUGCAGUAUAAAAAAUGCAUUCAGGAAUUUAUCAGUUUACAAUUGGAAGAUUCAUAGUUUCUUAGCUGACUGAUGAGAUAUUACAGAGACUUUAUAAUGUCCUUGUAAAUUGUGAGCUGUUAGCUUCUGUACUGUACUUCCUGAAUUCUUGGGUGGCCAAUCCUGGGCCUCUGCACACUCGGACCUGUUCCUAUUUCAGUACACUUGUACUUAGCGUAUUCAGUGAGCUCUGGCUGCCGACACCCUCGUCUGCUGUACAGAUGUCUUCCACGUGCAUUCCAGCGAGAGUGCCCUGACGAACGCUAGCGUGCUGCAGCAGCAGGGAGCAGCUUCCAAAGGAGUCUCGUUAGCUGUCCAGUGAAUAGAACAAAAUGCUUUUCUUUUGGUUAUUCAGGGAAUUUCUAUACAUUGUGUUCAGGGAACAAAAACAAAUCACCAUGUGUUUUGUAUAUAAAAAAGUUAGUAUGGAAAAAUAUCGAGAAAAAGUUUAUUGAUAAGUUUUGUAUUCUGAGUCGAAGAUUUAAAGUAAAAAAUUGCCAAUAAGUUAAAAGUCCACAGUGGGUGUAGUUUUAGAGGCUGAAAUUUAUCGCUAGCUUUGCCCCAGGCAAAUGUACACUAUUUGCUGGGGUGAGUAGAUGUAGUCAGAACAGUGUUUUGUGAACCUGAUGGCGAAGUAUACUUCUUAGAAAAAUCUCAAUUCGUGGUCACCUCAGUCUUUACCUUGACUGAUCUUCACCUGUGAGUCCUGGUGUGAAGAAAGGAAGAGAGGCUGGUCAAGCUCUUCUGUUUGAUGGAGGCACGCUGGUGAGCCAUCUUCACAAGGAAGGACAUCACAUUCUAGUUCACGAGUCUUGAAUGUAUGAAUUACUAAUCUGCUUUGAAUUCAUACACAUAUUACUAGCCAUUUCAGGAACUCACACCCAAAUUACUUACAGACAGACUUUCGCUUUGCAAUGAGAAGAUGUGUUUUAUAAAAUGAAUAGUUAUAUUAUUAUUUUUAAAGUGGCCUGGUGAUAUCAUCUCGUUGAAGUAUAUUUUGAAAAUUUUGUGCUUUAUGUUACCUUCAGCCACGUUUUAAAUUUUGACUACAGUGUGAGGUUAUUUUUUUCUCAGAGGACUGUAUUAAUUACUUAUUUUUGGCCUGAUGUAAGAAGGAUGAAGAAAGAACCUAGCUCAGAUAGGUACUCCUAAUCUAGGGUGUGUCGCUUUAAUCCUGUGGCGUAUGCGCACUGCCAGGUCAGGGUGUUCUGAGGUGAGACUCAGCGUUCGCUCUGACUUUCACCUGUUUGUCUCAGAGUUGGAUGUUAGCUCUUUAAAAAGUUCUAAUUUUGUAACAGAUCUCUUUAAAUCAUAGUAUUACAGGGCCACUGCGGAGGCCUUUGUGUUUAAGCACUUUAAAUAGAAAUUGAUCAAAGAAUAUGAGCUGAUGCUUGUGAGGUAGCAGUGAACUUCAAGGCUGUAAGUUGUUACAUUUGUAGUUUCCUGAAAUGGUGAAGGCAAAUGUUGAGUCAGCUGCACCUUCCUUAAGGUGCCUGCCAUGAUGCCUGCCUAGCUGUUGAGUUAGAGGUCUGAGGUAAGAGGUCAGCGGUCCUCUUGCUCUGUGGUUGGGAAUUUGCAAGGGCAGGGCCUCUCUGUUUGCUCCACUUCUGGUCCUGCUUGAAGUUCUUCUGUCCUCCAGGAGUGUCGAGAUGUCCCUCUCACUGUUGUAUGUGCAGGUUUGUAUGUGGGUAUAGGAACUUACAGAUAUCAGUAAGAAAAGAAUUUUUUCCUCGAUUUUUAAUGAAAACAGGCCUCACUUUAAAACAUUUUUUGAACCAUCUUUAAAUUUUAGUUUAGAAGUUAAAAUUUAAAAUUCUGCCAGCGAUGCCAGGUUUAAAAUAAGAUUUAAAAAAAAACAAACAAACAAAAAAAAAACACAACACCUAUUUGAAAUACCUUGAAAAUAACUACAUUUUAAUCUUAGUUUGGGGGACAAGUGUGUAGAGGAGAUCUUCUGCAUGUCAGGCAGUGUGGUGAGGUGGUGCAGGGGCUGCGCUCUGUGGCUCCUCUUUGCCCUCCUGAGUCUUGGCUCCCAAAGCAGCUCUUCCUGGUUUCUCUGCAUCUCACUGCAUUUCCCCGGCAGUCUGUGCCUAACUGCUUCAUUGGUGUCCUAGCCAUAGAAGAGAAGCAUCAGAACUCUGGGCAGUUCGUAGGUACAGAAAUUGUCAGUCUUUUGAUAGUGACAGGCCUACUAUUUAAAGGACCCCGUUAUAAUGCUUGGCAAUCACAUACUUAUUUCUAGGAAACCCCAUUUCUAAACCCCGUGGGCUCCCAUUUGUCUUGCAAAGCAGAAUUAAGAGCAUACAGCUUCUAAAAGGAAGGUGGGUUCUCUUUCCGCAACCUUAGACUUCUUAGGUGGCCUGGCUGGUGAGGGUACCACACCUUGCUCUCAAUGGUGGGGAGCCGGUUAGGAGAUUCCCAUUGCUGGUCCUGGGUCUCUGGAGGGUCGGCAGGUUCUCAGGCAGUGGGAAUCACUGCGUUAAGGAGCCACUUCUGGUCAUGUAAGUAUGUAGCUUCUGGGAACUAUCCAAUCAUUUGUGGAAGGAAAAUCGUCCCAGCCGGAAGGGGCAGAUGGCGCCUGCUGUCACAGCGGGUGGUUAUCGCAUCCUUUUGAGAACAUUCAUUUCCAUGCUGAGGUCACUGACCUCUCUCAGCCACGGUAACUGUGUUGUGAUGUAAUAUUCUGACUACCAAAAACUGAGAGUGAAUUUAAGCUGUCGACGGAAACCUAGAAGUAUAUAUUUUAAACACUCAGAUUUGUUCAGGUGCAAAAAAAACUUGAACUUUCUGAAUGGGGGGAAAAACUUGGUUAAGGAAUUUAAAGACUAUACUUAGCUGUUUUUUGUAGUAAGGUGUUCAGUGUAUGAAUAGGAAAAUUCCAGGACAGUGUAUCCCGGAAUCUUGUUCAUGUGUUGUAGUUCGGACAAAUUAGAUUUGCCUUGGGGAAAUCUUCAAGUGAUUAAAAUUCUCCUUAAAGUUUAGGCAAUGAAGUUCACUUUGUGUUGGCUAUUUAAGUAAACCACUGUCGUUGCUUUUGACAGAACAUUUUGAGGUCUGAGGAAGGUAGCAUACUAAUAGUGCAUUAUUAGUUAACAAAAACCGGAAUUUAAUGAGUUCUGUGUGUGAAGCUAGAAACUUCCUUUUGUAUUGUAUGAACUCUUAAAUGUUUGCAGUCUGUGAAACCAAUGAUAAUUACAGCACCAACACUCUCUUCAAGGACGCGUUUAAUUCAGCGAAUGAAAGGUCUUCUAAUUAGUUUUGCAUGGUACAAUGGUUCUUACUAAAAAUGUACUUGUAUAAUAUGUACUGGGUGAUUUAAAAUCAAACACUAGAAAAUCAUAAAGAAAAACAGCUUUUUACACAGAAUAUGCAUUGCUGAAUGUAGAAGCCAUAUAUCGCCACUGUACUGUUGUAAUACUUGAGAACGCUCAUCUGGUGCUAUUUGUGAAUGACUUGGCGUUAGCAUCUGCUAGAUCCUUUUCCCUUUCCUUCCUGAAUAUAUAAUGUGUGCCUUUUACGUUACUUCUGGUGUUGAAUGGUAAAAUCAAUGUGGUAUUUUUGUAUUAUAAUCUGCACUUUACACUUUCUUGGAAAGUAAAAUUCUAGACUAUCUGAAUAGUAUUUUAAAAAUAUUUAUAAUGUUUACAAUAAAUAUUUUACAUAUUUUAAUUCAACAUCUAAAAAAAGUAAAAAAAAUUAAAAUAUUUUGUAUGGUUUGCUAAUUGUUAUUUAAUGUUGCACUCUUCUCAGUUUGCUUUACGUUCCGUAGGAUGGCCAAGCACAGGAAUAGGUUAUAGUUUGCCGUGCAUAUCAUCGGACAGUUUGACUAGUUUUCUGGGUUAGCCUUUAGUCUGCUUCAGUCCUAAUGGGCCGAGUCAGUGCUGGUCUCCAGCCAGCCUGUUAGAGGCUUUUCUCACUGUACUUUACCUUCUAAAGUAGAUUGGUUAGGGUCAGCUGACUAUUUCAUGUCAUCAUCAAAUGUCCAGCAUUUUAACAAAUUGCAUUUCACAUAAGCUAAAUAUUAAGAGUACUAAAAUCUUUUUAUGAAAAAUCUUGCGUUAUGUUUUUAGGUCUUUUCACUAGAUUUUUAUCUGGCCCCCUCAAUGUUUUUCUGAUGCUCUAGCCAAUGAGUUUAGUGAACAGUGGAUCAGAUACAUUAGUUCCAAAGCACAAAGUGUGUGUGAACUACUUUUUACAAACAGCUAUUUCAGUGUAAAAUGCUCCUUGUUAAUGAGAGCAUAGGAGGAGGUUUUUCUCUGCCUGACAGCUAGCCUGGCGCCUUCGUAACAUGUGUCCAUCAGAACCUUCACUAGUAUCUGGCUUCAGUCAUUUCUUUUAACUUUUAUCAAAGAAAGUAUUUUCUUAAAAAAUGUGCUGUUUAAUUCAUUUAAAAAACCCUUUUCUUUCGUGUGCUAAUGAACGUGUUUCUUCACAUUGCUUUCAAACGCUUGCAUCUUGCUCCUCUCUAACUCUGAGCUUCCUUCUGCGGUGCAGCUGAGGUCCUCCUCUCAGGUGAUGAAACUUACCAGGACAUUUUUCGUGAUUUUUCUCAAAUGGCAUCCAAUAAUCCAGAGAAACUCAAUCGUUUCCAACAAGAUUCACAGAAGUUCUGAGCCUUUUAAAAAGGGGGAAACUAUGAAAUUUGGUGAAUUCCCAGUGUGUACAACCAAAAACUCAUACAUUUUUACUACUUUAAUUCUACUUACUUAAUUUUGGUUGGCAUUGAAUUAUUUGGAAAAAAUAGUACCCAUUCAUUGGUAUUUUUGUAAAUGAAAACAGUUCCCUCAUAUUUGGGAAAUCCACUAUAGUUCCUCUUUUAUUUAAGGAAAAAAAAAGUCUUUUUAGUGGAUUGUGCUUUUAUAUAAAGUCGUUUCCAGAUCUAAGCCAUCUCUAAGUUCUGGAAUGCUCCACUGUUAGACCCCUGUAUCCUUUGCCAUGGGUGGUAUACUGGUCCCCCAAGAACAUUAAAUGCCUGUGUCUGUAUCACGUGGGAGCUAGUGUCUUACCUGGUUGGAGGGUGUGUCUCUUCUGUGACUGCCCCGAUUAUUGUCGGUGGGUGGUUCAGAAAUCCAUGUGUGCUUUCCGGUAGCGUAGCUGCGGUGCCCACGACACUGGAUGCAAUCGCUAGGACUAGUGAGGAUGUCCUUCAUUCUCUCAGAGGUGCCAGUGCCCUUCAGCACUCCAGCAGACACUGCUGCCGUCUGGGUGGACCACACGUCAGUCUUCAGAUUUAUUUCAUCUUAUGGUGCAAAGACGCUCUUUUUCUUUCUUCAAUCACCAGAAGAAUCGUAGCUCAGUUUUUAUUGUUGGGCUGAUUUCCUAAAACCUUGACAGAUCAUCAGUGUGACACAACUGGGUUUUAGAAGUUGAAUAUUGUAAAAUUGGGCUUUCAUCAAAACAGUGAUUUCAAAGAUAAUAUAAGGCAUUUUUAUAUUUGGGACUUGUCCAUUUUAAGAUAAUAUAUUUUUUACUGUUUCUCCUGGUGAAAGAAAAAUCUCCAUGUAAAGGAAGAUAAAACAUUUUUUUUCUGUUUAUACUAAAAUUUACCAGCAAUAAAGUCCUUUUAUUUUUUCUACAUUUAUCUUGUGUACUAUACAACAGUAUACAUUCUUUUAAAUUGUAUCUUGUAUAUAGCUUUAGAAUUAAGUAAAAUGUCAUUGACCUUUGAGUUCCAAAAUUAUGAACGUGUGAUACAGUUUGGUCCAAUUUCACCUCUGACUGAUGUGUCUUGUCAAAGUAUAUCGUAAAUGAGUAAUUGCCUUUUAGUUCAUGUCCAGCACCGUUGAUUACAUUAAUUCUUUUAGAAAUUAUUUGUAAGUAGCAUGAUACUCAGCUUCACAGAAACAUUUUAAAAUGUAUAUAAAGUUAUAGUUAAAUAAAAAUUUUAACAUUUUCCCUACAGAAUGUAGAGCCUUAGUUUGCUUAAAUAUAAAACCAGAGUCUAAGGAGAAAUUAUAUUGGAAUCAAUUGGCAACACUGAUGAGGCUCUGUGGUUUGGCCGAGUUGCAAGCAUGUGAUGCAUAUUUAGUUGGUCACCACACAUUAAGGAUCUACCGUGAUCUGUCCCUGAGGAAGUUCACCCCUCCACAGGUCAAAAGCAUGUUGUCUUUCCUUCUCACUUCAGACUUGCAGAUCACCUGGACUUACAGGUAUCUUGUUAAAGGCAGAAGUCUAAUUCAUAAUAUUUUAGUUGGUGUGUUUUGAAACUCACUGUCCUAAAAUAUGUUCAAGGAAGAGAAAUAGGCUAAAGAAGGGGAGAUAGGGAAGGGAGCCCGCCUUUCCUCCCCGUGCUCGUUCUUGGUCGCCCCUGGAACCCCUGCCUGGUCUGUGAAGGUGCAGAUGCGGCUCCCUUUGGUUCAGCUGCCGGGGGCCGCCGUUCUUCCAGACCUGCUUGCCGCCCUGGCUCCUGUCCUAGUGUGCCCCUAAGUUCCUAGUGUGGCAGUCAGUAGUGUCUGCUGCCCUUUAACGGCUAGAGCAUUUUUAUUUUUUUUAAAGCCUUAAAGAUUCAAGUGCAUUUGAAAUGCCUUAAAGAUGAUUGUGGUUCUGAAGAUCUUUAAAAAAAAAAAAAAAGCUACAUCUUUUAGCAUUGCACGGAGGCUAGCAAUACAAGACUAUAUUUCUGUGACUUAAUUUUCUUAAUGGGCUGGCAAAUUGAAUUGCAGAAAGGAGUGGAGGGUAGCAAGGGUUUAAGUUAGUAGUUGUAAAGCAGGUUGGCUCUUCAUGAGUUCUGCUGUGUUCACAAAUCGCUUUCUGUGGCAUGUUAUGAAGUAUUUCAUGCACUAGGAGAGAUGAGCAUGUGCAAUGUUCUGAUUGCUCUGUUUUCUCUCCAGGACACACAUGCUGAUAAUAGUUUGAUUCUUUGUUAUUAGUCUGUUAGCUCUUUUUCAUCCUCUCGUUAAUGUAAAAUUUGGAUUACUGCCAAAAUAAGAAUAGAGGCGCCGGGAGGGACUCAUGAAAUGCAGCUUUAGUACAGACAUAGACAAAGGUAACCGUUCCCCAGGCUUCACGCGACACAUGUUUAAGAUUCCCAAGAUUUCAAAUUUAUUUUAGUGCAGCCCUUGGAAAUUAAAAAGUUUCCAGCAUUACAAUGUGCCUAAUUAAUUGACGCUGCUGUUUGCUGUAGUUCAGUGAACUUCGUUAUUUACUUCACCCAAAGUAAUCCAGCUUGCAACUUGUACUUUAGUAUGUCAAAGCAUUUUAGGAAAAAAAAAAAUUACACACAUAUUUUACAGAAUUUUAAGUAUGUGAUCAUGUUAGCAGUAUUUAAAAAUAAAAUUUUCUGUGUAUUAGAUAUGAUCAUAAGCCAAGUUGUGUUUAAAACUAGUUAUCCACUUUGAAUAAUUAGACAUUUUCCGAUCAUUCGUUCUCAAAUUCACUUCCUGUGUGGUUGCAUUUUGACCAUUAGCAUGGGCUAGAAAAUGUGGGGAGUGUUUUGUUUUGUUUUUUAAGCAAGAUCCUAUGUCCAUACUAACCUCAGCUCAUAUUCUUCUUGGACCUGGGACUGCCCACAAAGUGAACGGGUGAAGCAAAGCAAAACCAUGAACCCUCCCUUCUUUAUGCUUUAUGGUGCAGAGUGUACUUGCACGUGACCUUUGCCCUCCUGAUGUUACAGUAGGACUUCUGAGACCGUAGUCUAUCCGUGGGUGACAGCCAUGACUGUGUCUUCUUCACCUGAGCCUGCUCCUCUUGUUUUACAGAGAUGGUCACUUGGUUUGCUAGCUGGAUGCAGAGCUGACCUGUGACCCAUGUCUGACAUAUGCUUCAAAAGCACUUGUGACAUGAAAGGGUGUGCAAUCACUGUAAAACGGCAGCUUUCCCUGUGUUUGAGAAGAGACUCCAAAUACUCUGGAGAACCUCAUACAUCGGCAUAUGAAAGCAUCACAUUGUAGAGAAGUCUGCAUUUUUUACAAUAGCAAACAUUAAUAAAAGCAAAAUAUUAUAAAGUUAAACUCAUCUGUUAGCUUCUCAAUGUUUUCUAAUGAAAUGUAACUAUAGGAAGGGCUUGGAUUCAGUCUGGCUGAGUCCUACAACCUAGAAGGAUGAUUUUUGUAGGUAUCUCUUUCUGUUUACAUAGAGGGGGAUCAUGUGGACAAAGAAAAAUUUAAUUAAAUACAAUCUUUCUUUGCAUUGGUCUUCUCACUAUCUUAUUUUGUAGAUCUUUCUCAUCUCCCAACCUUAUUUUGGGUAUUAUUUUUUAACAGGGAAAGCUUGCUGUGUUAUCAAGGUUGUUAGCACCAUUUUACACAAAGGCAAAAGGUUAACUUUUGGAACUGACAAGCUCCUUUUUAUGUGUAUGUUUACUUGUGCUUUGUGGUAUUUCUGGAUCAUUCCGGUCAUCAAGACUGAUGACAUGUACUAUUUCUUGCUACCUUUGAAAAGGAUUUUAAGAAUGUAUAACCAACACUCCAUUACUUUUUAUUAGUAUGUAGAGGAUUUGUAUCUAAUUCAUGAAUGUAGUUUUACUGUAGUUUGUCAUUGUAAAUGAAGCAAAGUACAUUAUCUUUAUAGUUAUUCUAAAAUGUACAUUAUGUAAGAAUUGUAAAUAUACUUGAUUACUUUGUAUGCUGAAAAUUUACAAUAAUAGUCAAUAAAAAAAUCUCACUUCUGGCACAGUUA